rnacentral:rRNA from 1 species
UUGAGAAAAACUCAAAGGAAUACUAAGGCGCCCGUACCGGAAACCGACACAGGUGGGUGGGCAUGAAUGUGCCAAGGCGCGUGAGUGAAACCUCGUUAAGGAACUCGGCAAUCUAGCCCCGUAACUUCGGAAGAAGGGGUGCCCACUUUUAGUGGGUCGCAGUGAAAUGGGUGUACCGACUGUUUAUCAAAAACACAGCACUCUGCUAAGUCGUAAGACAACGUAUAGGGUGUGACACGUGACCAAUGCGGAAAGAUUACGGUAAGUGGUUAGCGCAAGCGAAGCUACGAGCCCAAGUCCCCGUGAAUGUCGGCCGUAACAAUAACGGUCCUAAGGUAGCGAAAUUCCUUGUCGGGUAAGUUCCGACCUGCACGAAUCGUGUAACGAGUGCACCGCUGUCUCAACGAGGAGCUCAGCGAAGUUGUAAUGGCGGUGAAGAUGCCGCCUACCCGCAGCAGGACGGAAAGACCCUAUGCACCUUUACUGUACGCUGUUACUGUGUUUUCGAUUUUCAUGCUUAGCGUAAGUGGGAGACUUUGAAGCCAUUCUUUCGGGGAUGGCCGAGUCGUCAAUGAAACACCACCCUUGGAAAUUGGAAACUCUAACCCUCGCCCAUCAACUGGGGAGGGGACACUGGCAGCCGGUCAGUUUUACUGGGGCGGUAUCCUCCCAAAGAGUAACGGAGGAGUACGAAGUUUGGCUCAACCUGGUUGGCAAUCAGGUGACGAGUACAUGGAUAUAAGCCAGACUAACUGUGAGACCUACAAGUCGAGCAGAUGCGAAAGCAGGUCCAAGUGAUCCGGUGGUUGAAAGUGGAAUCGCCAUCGCUCAACGGACAAAAGGUACGCUAGGGAUAACAGGCUGAUCGAGUCCAAGAGCUCAUAUCGACGACUCGGUUUGGCACCUCGAUGUCGGCUCAUCACAUCCUGGGGCUGGAGAAGGUCCCAAGGGUCCGGCUGUUCGCCGGUUAAAGUGGUACGCGAGCUGGGUUCAGAACGUCGCGAGACAGUUCGGUCCUUAUCCGCUGUGGGCGCAGGAAAGUUGAGGGGUUUAAACCUUAGUACGAGAGGACCGGGUUUAACGAACCUCUGGUGUUCCAGUUGUCGUGUCAACGGCAGUGCUGGGCAGCUACGUUCGGAAGAGAUAAGCGCUGAAAGCAUCUAAGCGCCAAGCUCCUCCCAAGAUUGACUUUCCCUGAAGAGUCGUGGUAGACCACCACGUUGAUAGGCCAUAGGUAUAAGCGCAGUAAUGCGUUGAGCUUAGUGGUACUAAUAACUCGUCCGGCUUGAUCAA